rnacentral:pre_miRNA from 1 species
AGAAAGUGCAGUUUUGCAUUAUUUAUGUUCACCGUUUGACCGUCGUCUUAUUUAAGUUUUUUUAUGAUUAGUAUUUUUUAUUGUUAUUAGAUAAUAAAAUAUAAAUAGUAUUUUAUGUGUGGCUAAUGUUUUUAUUUUUUUUAAAUUUUUUUAAAUAAAGCAGACUGUUAAACUUGGAUAUGAAAACUCACGACUGCACUUAAA